UACAGAGGGGGCAAGCGUUGUUCGGAAUUAUUGGGCGUAAAGGGCGCGUAGGUGGCCUUCUAAGUUGAACGUGAAAUCCCUGGGCUCAACCCAGGAACUGCGUCCAAGACUGGGAGGCUUGAAUCCGGGAGAGGGAUGCGGAAUUCCAGGUGUAGCGGUGAAAUGCGUAGAUAUCUGGAGGAACACCGGUGGCGAAGGCGGCAUCCUGGACCGGUAUUGACACUGAGGCGCGAAAGCCAGGGGAGCAAACGGG
rnacentral:rRNA from 1 species